rnacentral:rRNA from 1 species
UACGGAGGGUGCAAGCGUUAUCCGGAUUCACUGGGUUUAAAGGGUGCGUAGGAGGGCAGGGAAGUCAGUGGUGAAAUCUCCGGGCUUAACUCGGAAACUGCCGUUGAUACUCUCUGUCUUGAAUCCCGUGGAGGUGAGCGGAAUAUGUCAUGUAGCGGUGAAAUGCUUAGAUAUGACAUAGAACACCAAUUGCGAAGGCAGCUCGCUACACGAAAGAUUGACUCUGAGGCACGAAAGC